rnacentral:misc_RNA from 1 species
CGAAAAAAGACGACGUAAUCCUCGCUUUCGGAUCCCUCUCGUUUCUUGGUGAGAUUGUGAAAGCUCUGGAUACAAUAAGAAGUGAGGUUUGAAAACUAUGGUAGAUCAGGAAAAAGUAAGAGAAGGGGUACGACUGAUACUGGAAGGUAUCGGGGAAGAUAUAAACAGAGAGGGACUGAUAGAGACACCGGACCGUAUUGCGAGAAUGUACUGUGAGCUGGCAGGAG